UACGUAGGGUGCAAGCGUUGUCCGGAAUUAUUGGGCGUAAAGAGCUCGUAGGCGGUCUGUCGCGUCGGCUGUGAAAACUCGGGGCUCAACUCCGAGCUUGCAGUCGAUACGGGCAGGCUAGAGUUCGGCAGGGGAGACUGGAAUUCCUGGUGUAGCGGUGAAAUGCGCAGAUAUCAGGAGGAACACCAGUGGCGAAGGCGGUGCUCUGGGCCGGAACUGACGCUGAGGAGCGAAAGCGUGGGGAGCAAACAGG
rnacentral:rRNA from 1 species